GUUGAGAUGGCCGAUUUGGUCUAAGUAACCAGAUUAAGGUUCUGGUCGGUGAAGGCGUGGCUUCAAAUCCCACUCUCAACA